UUCCUGCCCAGGCUGGCUCUGAACUUCAAUCCUUGAGAUCAGCCUCCAGAAUAGCUAGGACUUCAGGCAUGAGCCACUAGUGCCCAGCUCAUCAUAUAUAUUUAAAAUGCAAAAUAACUGACAUCAGGAAUAAUUUUACCUACUUGUAUUUAAACAAAAGAAUCAACAAUUAUUAUGUAAUUCACAUUCUUGCCAAAUACAAAGCAUAUUGGCUUCCCAAUGGGAGAAAAUGAUUUCUCCUACUUUUUGAAAUCUAAAAAUAUAUUAUAGAAGUCUACAACGUGGUUAACAUUUCAGGGAGAGUUACAAACAUAAUGUAUACAUAGGAAGGAUACAUGCUGCUAUGGGACGUCUUCUUAAGAAAGCAGAAGUCUUUAUGGGUAUAGCAGACAUACUGCUACUAAAAAGUGUGUUAUGUAUUUAUUUUUCAUCACUGGUCAGAAAAUUCUGUAAGCCCAGGUUUUGAUCUAAAUUGCUUGGCUCUUCAGCUCCAUGGCCUUGCAUAUUAUGCCACACACAUUAGAUGUUCUAAUGAAAACAUAAGCGGACCUGGACAAUUUUCUACAUUUAAGGCUUAACAUUA